ensembl:lncRNA
CAUAAUGAGACAUAAUGAUGCACAUCACAACAAUUCUUUGGUACAAAUCUGCACACAAUGGAAUUUAGAUAGAAACUCAUUUAUUUAUGUAUCGAGUUUGCCAGAGGGUACAAAACGUCACUGCAUUGCUGCAGUGCUGCCACUGUUCCUUCUGCAAUGCUGACAUUUUGAAUGAAUGGCUGUGCAGCAUUGCCCAUUGCAGACUGCUGGAAGGCUCCAGGAGGGACUCGGCUCCCACUGUGUGAUGGCUGUGUGAGUGGCAUACUUUGCUGAAGUGCGUCCAGAUCCUUUUUUGGGAAGCUGGGAGGCGUCUCCUUGCUGUGAGAGAGAAACAUGGUGCAAUCUUUUCAUCGCUCGGUUUUAGUGACACAGGUUCAAGCAGAACCAAGGAAACCAUUCCUCCUGUCCAAGAGACAGUCUCGUGGAUCCUCAGUUCCCUUCGCAGCACUUGUUCAACCUUUAACCUUUUAAGGACCAUAUCUGGCAACUGAACAGGGAUUACCUGAGCAGAGGAGCUAGUAACUACUAUAACUGGCAGAGUGAUGGCAAAAAUCCUGGUGCAGGGAACAAAUGGACGCUGCUGAAAAGAGAAAGAAAAAAAGAUGGAGAAGAAGAAAAGAAAUGAUGCUGGAGCUGGCAAAAGCUUUUCACUCUGAGUUCUGGAGCAGGAGAAACGCUUGCUGGGAAAAAAAGACUGCAACUGGAGGUACGCUGCAGCUCUCCUUUUUUGCUGCUGGAAAGAAGUUAAUAAAUGCAGUCACAAUACAAGCCCCCUUUUGGAGCAUACGACUCUUUGCAAGAAGGAGAGCAGAGAGUACGUGGCUACUCCUCUGCAGCUGUGUUUCCAAGUCAGCUGGUGCUUAUUUUCUAAUUGGGAACCACAACAGCAUAUGGGCUCACCUUUGGAGCUCUUCUUUUUGCUCCUCAUGUCCAUUGUAAUCAUUGACUCCAGAUGGGCGUUGACGUUCCUAAUACCAUCCUUACAUGGACAGGACUUUCAUAUGUCCUUCCCGAGACUAAGAAACAAAGAAAAAUAAGAAACAAGGGGAAUUCACCAGGGAAUCUGGAAAAAAUGGGAAAAUUCCUAGGGUUUAUGAAGCACUGGAGAUGCACAAAAGAUCUAGAACAUUUUCUUGAAUUUGCUGAAGAUAAUAAGCUGUUCAGUUCAAAGAAGCCCAAAACAACUGCAGGCUGUUGCCAAAGGAUUCUGCAAAGCCAAGCUACUGAGCAAUAAAGAGGCAGAUAUAUUUGAAGUUGAUAAGUACAGUUUGACAUGUGUUUGGAAAAGAAAUCUACAUACUAUAUUCAUAAUGUUUGCUCAAAGCUCUGUACUGGUCAAGCAAAUAAGAUGAAUGGUAGGAAACACUAUGAAGAAAAUAGCAGCGGCAAACUUCAUUAUAUCAUUAUUUAAACCUAUUGUGACCAGAACUUCAAUAUAUGCAGUUCUAUCUCUUUGGUUUUGAAAAGUACUUUGGAGCACUGAAAAAGGUUGGAAAGAUGAUCAUAGUACCAGUUUAUGUAGGAAAAAUGACUGCAGAGGAGCACUUCAGCUUGGAAAAACAAAACUGAGAGACAAAUGUAAUGAAUAUGAUGAAAACAUGAGCAGAAAGAAGAAACAGAAAAUUAUUGUUCACUGAGUCUCACAAUAUCAGAAUGACAUCAAAUCUAACUCAGAUGUCUCAAACUCAAAGAGAAGAGGAAUUUCAGUGUGCUAUGAAUAGUUAAACCCCACACUUAAUUGUCACAGGAAGCUCAUGGGGUAGAUGCCAAAUUUUACACGUGUUCAGAAAGUAGGCCUGAUUGAUCUACGGAAAAAAAGAAAACAUCCAUAAUUACUAACAGGAGUGUGUACAGGACCGGUUCAAAGUGCAGAUCAGUAGAAUGUGGAAGACUUUACCACAGGAAAUAGCACUGUCUAAGAUACCUCUAGCCAUCUGCCCCUGCCAUGACGCUCCUCACUAGCCUUGAUAU